rnacentral:lncRNA from 1 species
AUGAAGUCACAUGGUUCCAGGGGCAGCAGCUGUUUCCCUGAAUACGAGGAUGGUGCUUUGAGACCAACCAGAAGUGAACUGUUUGUACAGAUUGAUGCUGCUGAAAUGCAAAGUGGAAACAUGUCAGGGGAAACAUGCACCCUGUCACCCCAGGAGAGAUGGCUCGGUGGUGAAUCAGACCCACAGGACAGUGGGGAACGCCAGGUGGGAGAGAACAGCACAUGCCUGUAUACCCUGCUGUGGAAAGAACCAGAAAAGCUGAAAGAAAACCUGUGAGGCCAGAAGCUGGGAUGUGGGAAGGCUUGAGAAGGGUGCAGGAGGUAAGCAGUGAUAAGUCUGGCCCAGCCUUGUGGACCACAGAGGGAAGUUGCUUUGCAUCCUUCGUACAGUGAGAGCUCCCUAAAGGGGUUUCCGAAGGGCAGUGUGAUGCCCCUGGUUUUCAGAAGACCACUCCUGUCGCAAUGUGGAGAAGAGGCUGGUGAUGGAAAGGCAGCAAGUGGGAACCCAGGUUAGCGAGUGCUUGUGUGGCUGGGGAGAGGUCAUAGUGGUGGUGGUCCAGCCUGGUGGCCCAGGGGGGCGGCCAGAGCAUGGACAGCACAUCCUCCUGAUGGGACAGACGUGGGGCAGGUGGAAAGACAGGUAAAAAGCAUGGGGACAAUUUUGUCCACCUGCAGGAUCUGGAAAGAGGCCUCUUGCAAUGGGCAGAGAAGGACUUUGUUCGUAGGUGAGCUGUCUUCUCUUAGGCAGCGUCUGUCCUGAGAUGGGAGCCCAGGCUGCGAGUGACUUGGGGGAUGAUUGACCUGGGGGAGGGGGCACACGUUAUUAGAAACCCAGUGGGGUGGACAGUGAGGAGAGUGCCUCUGAACCUCUUGGCAAGCAUCGCACCCCAGGAUUGGAAAGGGCCAAGAAUUCAACAGAAAAGGCGAUCCGUGCGAGAAGGAGAUGUAAACAAUUGACAGAAUGUUACGGCUCCACAGAAAUGUCAGGGUAUUAAAGUGGGUGUCUGAGAAAACAGAAACUUGCAGUCUGAAAUGAUGAAUAAGCCACUGCCAGUUGUCAUAGAAUGUGUGAGGCGCGUGUGUGAGCAGAGAGAGGCUGCGCGGCACUCCUGGAGCAGGCGGCGGCGGGCACGGCACUCACCCAGGCCCUCCUGUAGUCGCCUUCCCUGCUCACCACCUCUCUAAUCGCACACCGAGGCUCACCCUCUUGGCUGGACUGGACAUGCCACAGAGCAGUGUGGUAGGAGAUCGAGGUUCCUGUUCCCUGGUGUGCACGCCCUGCAUCACCCCCUACCCUUAGGUGUGGGUGAGAUUUGUGAUGAGGAUGUGGGGCGUGGCAAAAGGGAAGGGAUGCCACGCUUAAGGACCCACAUCAGUUGACUUUGAGUUCACCUCGGUGGGCCUGACCUCAUCAGGGGAUCCAUUGAAAAGCGGGUCUGGAAGUCAGAUACUUGACAGGAAGUCAGAAAUGCUCUCCUGUCAGUCUCCAGGAACCAAACUGGUGUCAUGUGGAGGAGGCCAUGUGGCAGAGAUCCGUGGUGGCCUCUGGUUGCUGAGGGCCUCCGUCCCACAACUGCAAGGAACUAGGUUCUGCCAACACCCAGCAAGCCUGGGAGAGGAUGCCAGACUCCAGGGAGAUCACAGACCUGGCAACACCUUGAUCGUGGCUGUUGAAUCUCUGAGCAGAGGACAGAGCUGAGCCAUGCCUCUGUCCCACAGAAACGGUGAGAUCAUAAAUGGGCAUUGCUUUAUUCUGCUCUGCUGUUUAAACAUUUAUUUUUAUUUUUAAACGUUUUAUUGACAUAUAGUUGAUUUAUUAGAUUGUGAUCAUUUCUGCUAUACAAAAAGAGUGAUUUAAUUAUACAUGUACACACGUCCCUUCCCUUUCAGUUUCUUUUUCCACGUAGAUGACUAUAGAACAUUGGGUAGGAGUCUCUGUGCCAUACAGCAGGUCCCCGUUGGCCUGUCAUUCCAUAUACCUUAGUGGACACACGCUAAUUCCCCAUCCCCAGUCUGUCCCUGCCUCCCCCCACCCUGUCCCUGUUGGUAAACCCUAAGUUUUUCAAACUCUAUGAGUCUGCUUCCGUUCUGCAAAUAAGUUCGAGAAGAUGUGAUACCUAUACACAAUGGAAUAUUGCUCAGCCAUACAAAAGCAUGAAUUAACACCAUUUGCAGCAACAUGGAUGGACCUAGAAAUUGUCAUACCAAGUGAAAUUCGGCAGUGAAAGACAAACAUCUUAUGAUAUCACUUAUAUGUGGAAUCUAAAAAAAGGACACAAAUGAAUUUACUCGGCUCUGUUGGUGGUCAUUUGUUUUGCAGCAAUAGACCGUUUACAUGGUCAGGGGCACUUUGCUGGUCAUUACUGUCCCCAUACCAGGCACAGGGCCUGUUGCAAGCAGAUAUUCGAUACAGGAUGUGUGUAGAAUGAGUAAGUGGAUGAAUGGAUGACAGCCAGCCAGGAACGCAUGGGAGCACUGCCCAACCAUGGGGUGUCGUGUGUGUCCUAGCCAGCUGUGGGGUCCCAGCUGCCUGCGAGCUCGGGGAGAGAGACCCUGGGGUGGGAUUCCUAAUAGAUACGGAUGUAACCGGAAGUCGCAUUUGGGUCCUGAAUGAGGGUCUGCAGCAGGCGUGACUUUCUCUGCGUUGGGAUUUAAAAGAUGCUCUGCUUCCCAAGCAUAUCACAAGAGGACCCCCCAGACGGACUUAGGGCUCUAGAGUUCCCUGAGCCCUAAGUGGUGGUGAAGGGCACUUUUGGACUCAAGGCUGUGGGGCUUGGGGGUGGGGGCGGGCCCCAGUGGCGCUGGAGUUGUUGGGCAGGGCUUGGCCUGCUGGCGGGAGCCCUGAGGAUGGGCAGUGGGUACCGAUCUUGAUUUUGCCAAGAGCUGGGGAAAAUCUUCUGGUGGUUCCCCGUUGCCCUGGAAUA